rnacentral:rRNA from 1 species
UACGUAGGGUGCAAGCGUUGUCCGGAAUUAUUGGGCGUAAAGAGCUCGUAGGCGGUUUGUCGCGUCUGCUGUGAAAACCCGAGGCUCAACCUCGGGCCUGCAGUGGGUACGGGCAGACUAGAGGUAGGCAGGGGAGAGCGGAACUCCUGGUGUAGCGGUGGAAUGCGCAGAUAUCAGGAGGAACACCGGCGGUGUAGACGGCUUUCUGGACCGUAGCUGACGCUGAGACACGAAAGCGUGGGGAGCAAACAGG